AAAACCGACACAGGUGGGCAGGAUGAAAAUUCUAAGGCGCUUGAGAGAACUCAGGAGAAGGAACUCGGCAAAUUGACACCGUAACUUCGGGAGAAGGUGUGCCUCUAGUAUGUGAAGUCCCUCGCGGAUGGAGCAGAACGGGGUUGCAAAGAAUCGGUGGCUGCAACUGUUUAAUAAAAACACAGCACUCUGCAAACACGAAAGUGGACGUAUAGGGUGUGACGCCUGCCCGGUGCCGGAAGGUUAAUUGAUGGGGUGCAAGCUCUUGAUCGAAGCCCCGGUAGACGGCGGCCGUAACAAUAACGGUCCUAAGGUAGCGAAAUUCCUUGUCGGGUAAGUUCCGACCUGCACGAAUGGCGUAAUGAUGGCCACACUGUCUCCUCCUGAGACUCAGCGAAGUUGAAAUGUUUGUGAAGAUGCAAUCUCCCCGCGGCUAGACGGAAAGACCCCAUGAACCUUUACUGUAGCUUUACAUUGGACUUUGACGGGACUUGUGUAGGAUAGGUGGGAGGCUGUGAGACGUGGUCGCUAGAUCACGAGGAGCCAACCUUGAAAUACCACCCUGGUGUCGUUGAGGUUCUAACCCAGAUCUGUGAAUCCAGAUCGGGGACCGUGUAUGGUGGGCAGUUUGACUGGGGCGGUCUCCUCCCAAAGGGUAACGGAGGAGUUCGAAGGUCUCCUAGGUACGGUCGAACAUCGUACUGAUAGUGCAAUGGCAAAAGGAGGCUUGACUGCGAGACAGACAAGUCGAGCAGGUGCGAAAGCAGGACAUAGUGAUCCGGUGGUUCUGUAUGGAAGGGCCAUCGCUCAACGGAUAAAAGGUACUCUGGGGAUAACAGGCUGAUUCCGCCCAAGAGUUCAUAUCGACGGCGGAGUUUGGCACCUCGAUGUCGGCUCAUCACAUCCUGGGGCUGUAGCCGGUCCCAAGGGUAUGGCUGUUCGCCAUUUAAAGUGGUACGUGAGCUGGGUUUAAAACGUCGUGAGACAGUUUGGUCCCUAUCUGCCGUGGGCGCUGGAUAUUUGAGGGGACCUGCUCCUAGUACGAGAGGACCGGAGUGGACGUAUCUCUGGUGUACCGGUUGUCACGCCAGUGGCAUCGCCGGGUAGCUAAAUACGGAAGAGAUAACCGCUGAAAGCAUCUAAGCGGGAAACUCGCCUCAAGAUGAGAUAUCCCGGGGGUUCAACCCCCCUAAAGGGUUGUCAUAGACCAUGACGUUGAUAGGUCAGGUGUGGAAGCCAA
rnacentral:rRNA from 1 species